UGCAUGCUGGAGUGUUCUACUAGAGCUACAUCCAGAGUCCUGGAACCAAAUAUUUUUUUAAAUAGGGGAAAAACGAACCCAUUCAUACACUGAAAGUAAAGUAUCCCCAGAGGGAGAGUUUUCCAUUGCCAACGUGAUAGGAUCUGGAUGAAGGAAUCAUGAAGGGGCGGGAAGGAAAGAUCUUCAUUGCAAAGGGCAGGAAGGAUGGAUCCAGAUUCCUCUGCUUGCUCCCUAAAGGUCAUCCUAAAAGAGGAGUGAUGAGGGCUGUCAGUGCUUUGAGACGCUCCGUGGGUAUUUUGAAAUAGCUGUGGCGAAAGAACAGACCGGCCUGCUUAUUAGAUUGAAGAGCAGUUAUUAAUUCUGAACUUGCAGUAUGCCCUGGCCCUGCGGUUUCAAGGGAUUUUAUUUCAUGUGGUAUUUAGAACUACACUGUGGGGCGAUCGUGUCUUCAUUUUCCACACGAACAAUUGUGACCUCACAAGGGAUGAGUAAUUUGCUCAAGACCACACAGCUAAAGAGGGGCGAUACCGGACUUCAGCCCCAGGAACUAGGCUCUGGAAUCCGCCCUUCAACCUCCAAGCAGGCGCAGCGCGCGUGGCGUUACCCAGAAUUCUCCGCGCCGCGGAAAAGACCACUAGCUCAAUGUUCCGGGGGAGUUCUGGGAGGUGUCUGUAGCGUUAAAAGGGCUGGAAGUGCGGUGAGUUUUUGCCAGAUCACCCUUUCUUAUGUGAGGAAUGGGAUAUUCCGACAUCUUAAGGUCCAUGGACUCUGCAGGAUCGGUCUUUUCACUAUGGACUUUGUGGAGGGCUACCGCGGCAGGCCCCUCGGGUCCGCAGAUUUAAGGACCCAGAACUCCGGCCCGCCAUGAGGACUGCGCAAACAUGAUAAAGCUGGAUGGCGGGCUUAAUAUAGAAUAUUGAAGGGAGCGGCCUGUCAUAAGGGUGCAUAUUAGCAGAAGGAACACCAGCAGCUGAGUUUUGGAGCCUGGAACAUUUGUCUUUUCGUGAGGUGCUUUGCUUUAUCCAUUCUCAGGAUUUUGGAAUGGAGCCCUGAAGUGCAGGUUAUAGACCUGGUGGCAGCACCUAAGCCCUGGAGGAGGCUGUAUCUCCCAGAGGAUGAUCAGUUCCGGGGAUCAGUAACUACCAUUGAUUUGGAUUCUGAAAAUCUAAACAGCUUCAGCAUUUGGAAACGUGGUCACCUUGUGUAUCAGGCUGUUCACAAGAGAUCAUUCAACAGGCCCGAUUGGUGUCGUUACCCCACCCAACAGGAAUUUCUAUACCUUUUAAUCAUUUUAUGUGUACACAUUGGUUGCCCUUAUAUUGGAAGGGUGAGAUCUUUAAGCCAAAAAUUGUUUCUCUUGAAUAUAAUGUCUAAUACCAUAAUAAACAAUGGUCUUUGGUGA